rnacentral:rRNA from 1 species
UACGUAGGGUGCGAGCGUUAAUCGGAAUUACUGGGCGUAAAGCGUGCGCAGGCGGUUUUGUAAGACAGGCGUGAAAUCCCCGAGCUCAACUUGGGAAUUGCGCUUGUGACUGCAAGGCUAGAGUGUGUCAGAGGGGGGGUAGAAUUCCACGUGUAGCAGUGAAAUGCGUAGAGAUGUGGAGGAAUACCGAUGGCGAAGGCAGCCCCCUGGGAUGAUACUGACGCUCAUGCACGAAAGCGUGGGGAGCAAACAGG